rnacentral:lncRNA from 1 species
ACCCGGGCCUCUGGGCCCCGUCAGCCCUCGAAGGCCUCAUCCACCAUCCGUUCUCAAAAAACAGCCAGCGCGGCAGCUCCGGGUGGCCAGGAUUGCGACACCAAAUGUGUUUGUUCCCGUGUUUGUGAAAUACCUCAGAGGCACCGUUCCAGUCCCACCUGACUAGUUUUCUGAUUUGCCACAUGGCCCUGGCUCCAUCUGCCAAUCCUCAACCGGGGCUGACUGGUCAGAGAGUUUGAGGUGUGGGUUCAGAGCAUAAGAGACCUCAUUCCUGUCUUCCUGAGUGAGGAGAUUUUUGCCUGCCUGAAACUUCUGAACAUCACUGGUUGGGCUUGGAGGCAGUGCUGGGGCCCUGGGGUGAUGGUGUGACCUUGGGUCAGUCAACCUCUCAGAGCCUUUUGUCCCUUUUAAUGCAUGAAGAGGAUAAUAAUUCCUAUCUUGCAGGAUUGUGACCCAUAAGCGUAUCACCCGAUGAAAAGUCGGGAUACCAGCUCACUCACCGGGCUUCCUGCCCCUAAAGGUCGCCGAAAGCAAAGUUGACCUCAAAUUUCUGAGUUGUUAAAAUUCAAUCUUGCGUUUAAUUCUUGCAAAUGAAUUACUGUCAGUAUUUGACUGAGAGCAGGAAGAAGAGGCCUGGCUAAUAUGUAACAUUAUGGGAACUCAGAAGCCCUGGAAAUUGGCUCAAGAACAUGGGCAGCAGGACGACUCAGCCCAAGAAAUGGGGCUGCAGGGGACAUUUGACCUAACGCAUCAUGUCAUUCAUCAGCCUCCUUCCGCCAAGGGGAAAAAGCUGAAGUUGGGGAGGGGACGGGCUAAGAAUUACUGGGCUUCUGUUGUAUGCCGAUCACUGAGACAGUAAGAGAGGAGUUUGGCAUAUAUUUUCUCAUCUCCUGAAAAGGAAGCGGCAUUACCUCCAAAUAACAAUCACUCAUUUAAUAAAUAUUUAGUGAGUGGUUAUUAUGUACUAGGUAUUGCUCUUGGAACUAGAACAGGUGAGAAAACAGAGUGGUGAUACGGUUUUCUCAAAGUCACCCAGCUCCUAUGUGGCAGAUCAAGAUAAGAGCCCACCCCCACACCCCCAUUUUUGCACGCCCAGAUACCUAUAUACUUGCACAUAUAUUCACACACACCAUUUCAUUCAUUGGGAAGGAUUUUUUUUAAGCUGCUGGAAUUCAUGCAUCUUUCGUAUCAGUAAUAUUGCAGCUGCCCUAAUCCCCUGAAACCUCUUCCCUGCCCCAUCCUUGGCCUCUCUGCUGCCAGUUACAAGCUCGAGUUCAAGUUGAGACCUGGGUGUCCCCAGCCCAGCACCCCCUCCCCUGCUCUCUCACGCAUGUGCCAAGCGCCCAGGAAGCCCUCUUCCAAGUGUUUCAUCGCGCCUCGGGGCGGGGAGCCAUCCAUCUUGGUUUCAACAUUUUGCUUCCACCUGGCAUUUUCUUUGCCAGCAAGUAGGUGAAGUAACUCACUCUAAUGCUGGCGGCACUGAGAGAGGGGAGCUGUGCUCUGCUCUGUGGGGUGUUGGUGGGGACAUUGCCAGUCUGUCCCAUGGUCCUUCGUGAUCACCCAGGAGGCAGGCUGGGGUGCUGGGUUUUAGCUUCGCUCAUCAGAGGAAGCAAUUCAAACUCUUCAGAAUAUUUCAUCAUCCAGGCAGCGCCAGGUGGGGGUGGUAGAAUUUGAGAAACUUUGGCAACUCCCGUAUCUCAGUGCUCGAGGAGUGCCAAGAGAGUCACCUUACACAACUCCUCCGUUUUCCUACGUGUCAGGGUCUCUCUCUGUAUAUAUCUAAGGUACCUUUGCCUUUCCCAUUACAGGAUCUCGAAAGUGUGCUUAGGGACGCCAAGUACUCAUGGAAACCUUUGGACUCAAGGUCUAGCAUUGACCCUCUUCCUGGCCAUGUUGCCCAAUUGGAUGCGUUUGCUAGAGGCAGGUUGUUGGGUUCAAACAUUCAUAAAAAACAAUUCCCAGGCAUAGUCUGUAGACAGCCAGGGAAUGGUUUAGCAACAUGCACUUUGCCUGGGAUGAGCUCACUGUAACAAACACACACACGCAUACACACACACACUGGGGAAGGUAAAAUGGUAAGAUGGAAACAGGAGAUGCAGAGGAGAUGGUGCCGAGCACGUGAACACCGCCCAGUGAGAGAGGGAACCAGGUGCCCAGGUGCCUCAUGGGCGUGGAGCCAGACUCUGGGAUGGUGCAUGAUAAAGACGUGGAAGUCUGGAGGUGGCGUUUGUCUUAUAUGGUGAUGACUUAUGAUUAGGUCUUAUGUUGUAACUAGACCAUACACCCUCAGCACUCAGGGAUCGGGGCUGAAGCACCGUUUCCCUCUCCUGUACCACCUAACUCACAUCCCAGUGGGUAGAGAGAGUUCCGUCCGUGCGAGGAAGGAGCAGCUACAUGGAUCUGAUGCUUAUUCAUGUUCACCUCCCUUGACAGUGAGUCAACCCUUCUGGUGGCUGAGCGUGUGCAUCCCUCACGUCCCUUAGACAGGGUCCCUCUGUGUGGCCCAGUGGCAGGCCUGGGGGAGCUGCCUUGGCGGGGGAGGUGAGAUUUACACACAGAGCCAGGUGCCGUCCUCACGUUGCAGGGGACUUACUGAAGCUGCAUCCUUUCAGAUGACGCGUCCUAUGGUGCUGUGACGAGGAGUGUCCCCUGUGUCACAGAUGCCCAGGGAGACCUCUCAGAGCACGUAGGAUGAGGUGGAGACUUGCGGGUAAGAAGAGGGGAGGCUGGUCCAGGGAAGGGGAAGGCCAGGAGCCAGAGUGCAGCUUGGGAUGCACACACAGCUUCCAUUGCUCCUUCUCUUUCUUGUUUACUCGUUCAUUCACCCAAAAAAUACUUUUCAGAGCCCUGCUCUGUGCCAGGUACUGUUCCAGCCUUGGGGAGCAGAGCAAGUCCGGUUCACAAAGUUGUGCGGGAGCCAGAUAAGGAACAAGUAUGACAAGUGAGAAAUGCAUUAGCUGGAAAAGGACCCAGGGUCACGGGAGUGCUGAACAGCCAGGAGGCAGGAGGAGGCUCGGUGGGCAGAAUCUUGAAGGAUGAGGGGCGUCAGCCUGGAGGUGGAAUCGGGAGUUUGGGAGAAAUGGCAAGAAGCACCCCAAGCAUGAACCCCCCGGGAACAGAAAGAGGCCAGCCCUUGCAAGACUCCGGCGGUCCUGGGUGGCGAAGCCAGAGUGGAAGAAGUCCGGGGUGGGGGUGAGGGUAAGGGAGGGAGCGGCACAGGGUGGGAAGGUGAGAAGGAGGGGUGGGCGUGCCCAGGAGAAGGCCACACAGAACCUUCUGGGCUGUGGUGAGGCUUUUGGACUUCUCUAGAGCCGUCUAAGCAAGAGCCGCUGUUGACUUGAACUGGAGUCAGGUGGCUUAGAGUCCAGAGGGGACAGCUGGGCGAAUGAGUCAGGAGGGUCCUACUCCCCAGAUUUCUGCAAGGUGGCUUCCAGCUCUGCCCUUGUGUGACUGUGCUCUGUGCCGACCCCUGUGCUUGUGGCCUCCUCUCCCGGGAGGCCCUGCUACUCCCUGCAGCCCCCCACUCACCAGCUGCACCUCCUUCCUCCCACAGGCCACUCUGAGUGGCCUGGGCCCUCACCCUGCUCCCCACUGGCCACCCCAUCACUUUAGCCCAAGGAGCCUGCAGCUUCCUUUCCCUCUGCUCAACAUCUGCCGCUCUCAUCCUCAGUCAAGCCUCUUAUCUUUGCAAUAAGAACCAGGGUCCCUCUGAGCCUGCUUCCCCUCUUACUGCCAGGGGGAAAUGUCUUCAGGCGAGAAAGAGGAUGAUAAAUAAUACCACUUUCUAGGACUGUCACAAGGGGUUUCCCAAGUCACCGGUAAGAAAGCCCCUCACCCUGGCCUGGCUCGUGGUUGGUCCCUACACUCUGCCUGUCGUUACAGUCCUGGCCUAAGAGGCCUUUGAUGAUCGACGCCUUCUUCUGCAUUCAGCCUCAUUUCUCUCCCUCCCGCCACCUCCCCCCCCUCCCCAGCCACUCGGGACUCGGCCCCAUGCCCCCCCACCAGCACACUGAUUUCUUUCUUCCCAGCACAUUGCUCAGCCGCUCCCUCUGCCUGCAGUGCCCUCUCUAAGCCCCGAGGCCCAGCCGUGUUUGUUUACUCUAGGGAACCAUCCUCAGGCGGAGAAAAUCAGCUCCUGCCAGCCUUUCCUGAAGGCAGUGCCCCAACUUGGGGACAUUGGGGGCAUUGCUUGAUGACAGAACACAUUGGUAUGUAUUUCUUUCUUUUUUUUUUUUUUGUCUUUUGUCUUUUUGUUGUUGUUGUUGUUGCUAUUUCUUGGGCCGCUCCCCCGGCAUAUGGAGGUUCCCAGGCUAGGGGUCGAAUCGGAGCUGUAGCCACCGGCCUACGCCAGAGCCACAGCAACGCGGGAUCCGAGCCGCGUCUGCAACCUACACCACAGCUCACGGCAACGCCGGAUCGUUAACCCACUGAGCAAAGGCAGGGACCGAACCCACAACCUCAUGGUUCCUAGUCGGAUUCGUUAACCACUGCGCCACGACGGGAACUCCUGUAUUUCUUUUUUUUAAAAUAUAACUAAAGAACAUUUAUUCAUUUUUCACUAAGACUUUAUCUUGAGGCCAUAACGACCCUGUGUCACCACCCCCACCCCGAUGUGAAGAAGAGUUAGUACAGGGAAUGUUAUAAAGCAGAUACGAACAGUUUGAAAGACCGGAACCAACAUUAACUGAUAAAAGCCAACUUCCAUCUUAAUCAUCAUAAAAAUGUUUAAGUAAAAACGCGAUGGUGGGGGAAGGGGAGGCAAUGGGGGUUUCAGAUUAUUGACCAAGAUCCUCGCAUUUCAUCUAAUAUCUUUAAUCUUGGCUAGAGAGUACCAAAGUGGAAACUAGAAUAUGGAGUUCUCGUUAUGGCUCGGCGGUAAUGAACCUGACUAUUGUUCAUGAGGACGCAAGUUCGAUCCCUGGCCUUGCUCAGUGGGUUAAGGAUCCGGCGUUGC